ACCUCAACCCUUGCUCCUACCUCUAUCACCAACGAGCAAAUGCCUUAGAUCAUGGAAAACUUGUCCCAGAGGAAAAUACUCUUUUAUGACCAUCACACUUCGUUCUUUUUGCGCUCACGGUCACGCUAACAAAGUUCCUUCAUCUAUUCGGAAGACGUUGUUCCAUUGUUACCAGAUAUCGAUUGAGGCGAGGGUGUUGCUUUUUGAAAACAUUCGAAGUGGUAGUAAGGUCUUAAUGGAUUAAUUAGUGGGCAUUCAGGAGCCUAACUUUGUGCAAUUGACCAAGUCGAUGGAUUCAUCCUUAUUUGCAAACACGAUAUGCUGCUAAGGAGUUUUAUGUGGAGUUAACAUGUUCAGUGACUAGCCUUAUUUGUGGUAUUUAUUGGCACUUCAGGUUUUUACUGUUAUAUUGGUAACUAUUUCCUAAUGAGUUGACCAUUGUUGUUACAAGUAAAAGUAUACCAUGCUUGGAAGUGAAACCCACCUGUUGUUAGCAUUCCAUGAGAAAGAAAGUAGAGAUUUGUGUUUUUCAUGAAUGAGAAAUUAAUGAAGAAGCAAAAGAAAACUUUAU